GACGAACGCUGGCGGCGUGCUUAACACAUGCAAGUCGAACGGAAAGGCCCUGCUUUUGUGGGGUUCUCGAUUGGCGAACGGGUGAGUAACACGUGAGUAACCUGCCCUUGACUUUGGGAUAACUUCAGGAAACUGGGGCUAAUACCGGAUAGGAGCUCCUGCUCCAUGGUGGUGGUUGGAAAGUUUCGGCGGUUGGGGAUGGACUCGCGGCUUAUCAGCUUGUUGGUGGGGUAGUGGCUGACCAAGGCUUUGACGGUUAGCCGGCCUGAGAGGGUGACCGGCCACCUUGGGACUGAGAUACGGACCAGACUCCUACGGGAGGCAGCAGUGGGGAAUAUUGCACAAUGGGCGGAAGCCUGAUGCAGAAACGCCGCGUGCGGGAUGACGGCUUUUGGGUUGUAAACCGCUUUCGAAUGUGACGAAGCGUGAGUGACGGUAAUGGGUAAAGAAGCCCCGGCUAACUACGUG
rnacentral:rRNA from 1 species